rnacentral:lncRNA from 1 species
CGGAGAUGGCCGGAAAGGGCCGCCGGAGUUAGGGACCGAGCCGCCACCGACCACCGCCAAUGGUGUCGGGGCCAGGCUGCUCCUCUUCAUCUCAUCAAGCCUAACCAUUUUCCUAACUAGCAUGAAGUCUGAAAAUGAUCGGAAGUGGUCGAAAAUUGCCUAGAACAGUUGACUUGGCCGGAAAAUUUCCAGAAACCAGCGAAAAUUGCAGAAAAUGGCGAGCUUGAUUUCGACGUAAAAACUUCAAUUUCAGGCCACGAUUCCUUCUGGAGAGUUGUUAAGAACAUCAAGGCGAACUCACUGGUUCAAGAAUCAUUCAAAACGAAGCUCUACAUCUCGAGAUAUAUUGAUCGAAAGCUUCGGUGGCCGGAAAAUUUCCAGAAUCCGGCGAGCUUGAAUUCCGACAUAAAAACUUCAAUUUCAGGCCUCGAUUCCUUCUGGAGAGUUGUUAAUAACAUCAUGACGAACUCACUGGUUUAAGAAUCAAUCAAAACGAUGCACUACAGCUCGAGAUAUCACGAUCGAAAGGUUUUAGUUUUCGAUCGAAAACCGGUCGAGCUCCGACGAACGUGAAUCCGGUCACUCCAGGUGCGAUCCUUCUGGUAUGAUGAUUAGUAGGUUGAGGCGAGUUCAUAGAGCUAAGGAUCGGAAGGUUUGGUGGCCGGAGCUAGGAGAAAACCGGCGUUGACUCAAAUCGAACUCAAAUCGGAACGAGCUUGCCGCCGCCGUUACAGGCCGUGCCGCCGUGCAAGGUCACCACAGACAGGUGCGCAAGGACCAUACGAAGCCAAUGGAAGAAGUUUGGUGAAGAUUGGUGGCCGGAGGAGGAAGAUAUGGGGAAAUGAAAAUCAAGGCCGAUUUCCGGCCG